UGUGAAGUUACUUAAACAACCAGGAGGUUGGCUUAGAAGCAGCCAUCCUUUAAAGAAAGCGUAAUAGCUCACUGGUCUAGUGAUUUUGCGCGGAAAAUAUAACGGGGCUAAAGUAAGUACCGAAGCUGUAGACUUAGUUUACUAAGUGGUAGGAGAGCGUUCUAUUUGCGUCGAAGGUAUACCGGUAAGGAGUGCUGGAGCGAAUAGAAGUGAGCAUGCAGGCAUGAGUAGCGAUAAUUAAUGUGAGAAUCAUUAACGCCGUAAACCCAAGGUUUCCUACGCGAUGCUCGUCAUCGUAGGGUUAGUCGGGUCCUAAGUCGAGUCCGAAAGGGGUAGACGAUGGCAAAUUGGUUAAUAUUCCAAUACCAACAUUAGUGUGCGAUGGAAGGACGCUUAGGGCUAAGGGGGCUAGCGGAUGGAAGUGCUAGUCUAAGGUCGUAGGAGGUUAUACAGGCAAAUCCGUAUAACAAUACUCCGAGAACUGAAAGGCUUUUUGAAGUCUUCGGAUGGAUAGAAGAACCCCUGAUGCCGUCGAGCCAAGAAAAGUUUCUAAGUUUAGCUAAUGUUGCCCGUACCGUAAACCGACACAGGUGGGUGGGAUGAGUAUUCUAAGGCGCGUGGAAGAACUCUCUUUAAGGAACUCUGCAAAAUAGCACCGUAUCUUCGGUAUAAGGUGUGGUUAGCUUCGUACUAGGAUUUACUCCGAAAGCGAAGAAACUUACAACAAAGAGUCCCUCCCGACUGUUUACCAAAAACACAGCACUCUGCUAACUCGUAAGAGGAUGUAUAGGGUGUGACGCCUGCCCGGUGCUCGAAGGUUAAUUGAUGGGGUUAGCAUUAGCGAAGCUCUUGAUCGAAGCCCGAGUAAACGGCGGCCGUAACUAUAACGGUCCUAAGGUAGCGAAAUUCCUUGUCGGUUAAAUACCGACCUGCAUGAAUGGCGUAACGAGAUGGGAGCUGUCUCAAAGAGGGAUCCAGUGAAAUUGUAGUGGAGGUGAAAAUUCCUCCUACCCGCGGCAAGACGGAAAGACCCCGUGGACCUUUACUACAGCUUGACACUGCUACUUGGAUAAGAAUGUGCAGGAUAGGUGGGAGGCUUUGAGUAUAUGACGCCAGUUGUAUAUGAGCCAUUGUUGAGAUACCACUCUUUCUUAUUUGGGUAGCUAACCAGCUUGAGUUAUCCUCAAGUGGGACAAUGUCUGGUGGGUAGUUUGACUGGGGCGGUCGCCUCCCAAAUAAUAACGGAGGCUUACAAAGGUUGGCUCAGAACGGUUGGAAAUCGUUCGUAGAGUAUAAAGGUAUAAGCCAGCUUAACUGCAAGACAUACAAGUCAAGCAGAGACGAAAGUCGGUCUUAGUGAUCCGGUGGUUCUGUGUGGAAGGGCCAUCGCUCAAAGGAUAAAAGGUACCCCGGGGAUAACAGGCUGAUCUCCCCCAAGAGCUCACAUCGACGGGGAGGUUUGGCACCUCGAUGUCGGCUCAUCGCAUCCUGGGGCUGGAGCAGGUCCCAAGGGUAUGGCUGUUCGCCAUUUAAAGCGGUACGCGAGCUGGGUUCAGAACGUCGUGAGACAGUUCGGUCCCUAUCUGCCGUGGGCGUAAGAAGAUUGAAGAGAUUUGACCCUAGUACGAGAGGACCGGGUUGAACAAACCACUGGUGUAGCUGUUGUUCUGCCAAGAGCAUCGCAGCGUAGCUAAGUUUGGAAAGGAUAAACGCUGAAAGCAUCUAAGCGUGAAGCCAACUCUAAGAUGAAUCUUCUCUAAGCUCUCUAGAAGACUACUAGUUUGAUAGGCUGGGUGUGUAAUGGAUGAAAGUCCUUUAGCUGACCAGUACUAAUAGAGCGUUUGGCUUAUCUUUAAUAAAGCAU
rnacentral:rRNA from 1 species